CCUACGGGUGGCAGCAGUGGGGAAUAUUGGACAAUGGGGGGAACCCUGAUCCAGCCAUGCCGCGUGUGUGAAGAAGGCCCUCGGGUUGUAAAGCACUUUCAGUGAGGAAAAACGCCUGGUGGUUAAUACCCAUCAGGAAAGACAUCACUCACAGAAGAAGCACCGGCUAACUCCGUGCCAGCAGCCGCGGUAAUACGGAGGGUGCGAGCGUUAAUCGGAAUUACUGGGCGUAAAGCGCGCGUAGGUGGCUUGAUAAGCCGGUUGUGAAAGCCCCGGGCUCAACCUGGGAACGGCAUCCGGAACUGUCAAGCUAGAGUGCAGGAGAGGAAGGUAGAAUUCCCGGUGUAGCGGUGAAAUGCGUAGAGAUCGGGAGGAAUACCAGUGGCGAAGGCGGCCUUCUGGACUGACACUGACACUGAGGUGCGAAAGCGUGGGUAGCAAACAGGAUUAGAUACCCUUGUAGUC
rnacentral:rRNA from 1 species